CUUUUUAGGGCUGCACCUGUUGCUAAAGUUUCCAGGCUAGGGGCAGAAUUGGAGCUAUAGCUGCCAGCCUAUGCCACAGCCACAGUAACAUGGAAUCCAAGCCGUGUCUGCGACCUCCACCACAAUCCAUGGCAAUGCCGGAUCCCCAAUCCACUGAGCAAAGCCAGGGAUCCACCCCACAUUCUCAUGGAUACUAGUCAGGUUCUUUACCGCUGAGCCACAAGGGGCGCUNAAUCCAAGCCGUUAAUGACAUUUAAUAAAAUGUUACAAACUUUUCCACACAGUAUUUGUGCGACAUAUUCCCAUGUAUUAAUGUGCAAAGAAUGACAGUGUGCUUGGAUGAGGGAAAUAUAAAUUUAAUUUCUUCAUUAUUUUUUCCUUUUCAGUUUUUUCCAGGUUUUCUAAAUGGAGGCGCUAAUAAAGGAAACAAAACAGGGAAACAAAACAGUGUGCAACAACUUACAUAAACUCUUCUUAAAUCAAUAUUACCCAGUUUGUAAUUUCCUUUUUAGAAAGGGACUCGACUUUGGAAAGCAGACCUAAUGUUUCAUUGUGCUGUCUGCAUAUGGCUACAUCCACUACCAUAAGAAGAUACAUUUGACCAUAAGAAGGAAGGAUGGUUGGGAGAGAAGGAAGGUAUACAUGAAAGGUACUUACCAGUACACCCAUUAAGCUCACACCCAACCCUGAGAAAGGUUUUGUGAAAUGUACAUCUUUUCCUACUUCCUCAGCCAUCGUUCAGACCACCCUGUACAGAACUGUAUCUCCCCACGUAUUACUUAUAGACAAGACAUCUUUGAGAAAGACCCUAAGAAUUUAAACAUGCAGAAAAAUAGAUUUCAAUCCAAGAGCUCAUCCCAACUCUAGAUCAAGGGCAAGAACUGGUGCUAAUAAAUGCAGCUCCCGUAUAUCUGCUUCUUACUAAUUAGCCUUUAAGUGCAAUUAUUAGUUUUAGCUUACUGUAGCAGCAUUGUUUAGGAUAAUUCUUGUGCAUGAUUUUUAUUGAUUUUUACAAGGGACUUGUAAUUCUUUAAUAAAAUCCACAAAAUGACACAAAAAUACACAUUUUAUGUUACUUUUCCUAAUAGAUUUACAGGAAAUUUUCUAAUAAAAAUGAUAGGCUCUAAGUUAGUGAUAAAGAAGAGAAGCUGACAGAAGAAAAAUGCUUCCAUGGGAAUGCACUGAAGUAGAAUUUCAGGGAUGAAAUCGCAUGGCUUCCACAGAUAACCUGACCAGAGGAGAGCAGAGCCAGAUGCACCUGGCACACAUUUCUUCACUGUUCAUCUCGUCCCCUCCAAAUCCCUUUCUAGGUUUUUGCUCUUGAUUUUCUACAGUGGCAUAUACCUUCAUAACUCAAAUAUUCUCUCACUGAGUUAUGACCCCCAAACAGCUGUGAGUAACAUCUGUAAGGCUUGCCUUCUAAAGGACUUAAGCUGGGCUGCUGAUAAACUGGGAGUCAAUCUUUCACUGCCAUGAUGUAUUCACUGCACUAAGAACUAUUUCCAUUGUAAAUUAAUUCCUGAGAUGUUGGACCUUAAAUGUCAUCAGCAUCAUUACCCAACCUGCUCCCAGAAGCAGUGACUCUGUCAGUCUGCUGCAGGUGCUAGCUUCUAAAAGUAAGAUGCUCCAAACCAAAUACAUUAAACCAUGACUCCAUCCAUGCUUUCAAAGGCCUCUUUAUUUUAUGCUGCUUGGCAAAGAGAUUAAUGCAUGCCAUUUCAGAUAUGCAACUGGCUUCUGGGUUUUUCUUUUGCCCUUUUAGGAGGAGGUACAUUUCAGUGCUUCUUAACAAAAAUAUAUUUCCCAAACAUUCCUUCUUUAGAAGACUAUAAGGUCCAGUCAGAAUUUAUCCUCUUUUACAUCUGUUUGGAAUAUAUGGACUUAAUAACCAGUUGUCAGGCCCUUAUUGAGUCAUCAGUAUGCAGAGAAUUUAUGUGGAGGCCUAAAAGAAUCAGGCAGUACAGGGCUCCCCUUGAGGAGUUUAGGUUUCUGUAGAAUGAGAAGCAACCCUACCAUGAUGAAUCAGGCAACAGAUAACAUGUGAAGCUAAUUUCAGGCAUUAGCCACCUCGGGCCCUCAUUAUACAUUUUGCAGUGAAAAAAUGUUCUCAGGGAAACCAGAGUAAAUUAAGGUUUAAAUGUUGGGAAGACAUCUUGUUGAAUAGCACAUCACUUGGAAUAUUAAAUUGAUUCCACAAUUGAUAUGCAGAGGAGAGAGAAUUUUAAAGGUAGUUUUCUUGUUUGUCUUUGGAAGAUGUCCUUUCUUUCCCAACUGUUCAGAUUAAUUCAGUGGAGUGUACAUAAAUCUGAAGCUCAGGAUGUAAAAUCUGAUGACAAAACUUAGGUGCUGUCAAAGAAAAGUAUUAUCUCUUUAAUCUAUCUUCGGAUUUUGUACGCCGGGUAAGCACUAAAGAAGUUGGUAUGGAAAUGUUAAAAGCCAUUUACCUGAAGGUGAAAGUAUGAUGGAAUAAUUCUAAAUUCAUGUCCAAUUAGUUUAAAUAAUGAGAGGCUGAUUGGAGUCCCUCAAUGCCUACAUCCAAAGGGACUUUAAUAUACUGCCUUGUUUUAAUAACAAGUAUUUAUUGAGAAUUUACCUAAGGAUAGUCACUGCAAUCAUUCAUUUACAUAGUUUUAUAGAUUAUGAAACCAUGAGAGGUUAUAUUAAGAAAUUAAUUCAAAUGUAAGACUAGCAUUCAAGCCCAAGACAGAAUCAGUUCCUUUUUUCCUAUAGCUAGAGUGUUCACAUUUAAAAGAAAGCAGAAGGAGCGUCAAGACGGUGGAGGAGUAGGACGUCACACUCACCUUGUCCCACAAACACCUCAAAAAGCACAUCUACAUGGAGAACAAUUCACACAGAACAUCUACUGAACGCUGGCAGAAAAACGCAAACCUCCAAAAGGGCAAGAAGCCCUUCUUCUUGGUAGAACGAAAGUAAAAAAAGGAGGAGAGAGAGGAAAGAUAUCAGGACGGGACUAGCAUUCCUGAGAGGGAGCUGUGAAAGAGAAAAGGAACCCACACCCUGGGAAGCCACCUAACUGACGAGGUCAGCCGAGACGAGGGACCUCGAGGUCACCAAGAAAAGCGCAGCAGCUGGACUGAGGAGGGCAAAGCAGAGCGAGAGUCACAGAGAUCAUCUCCACCACACAGCCUGACAUGCAGAGGCGAGCGCUGGGCACUGAGAUUCAGGGUCUGGAGGUCAGUUCUGGGCAGAGGACUAGGGGUGGCUGUGUGGAGACAGCCUGAGGGGCUAGGGAGUGGUGUGCCAUGGGAUGGGGAGCAGAACACAACAGCCAAGGGAACCUGGGAGGAGAUCUGGGCCCACAGGAGAAGCGAGUCACCACUGCUGGGGAGGGCGAGGGGAGGAGGGGCGGACUGCCAUAGGAAUCUCCUUCCCUGCACAUGCGCAGGCUCUGAGAGGAGGGGGCACCUCUGGUGCAGGCUACGGGUGGUGGGUGGCUAGAGGCAACUUGCUUGGGCUAUGGGAGACCGGUGCCUCUUGUGCGGGAUAAGGGAAGUGGGGGGCUAAGUGUGACACAGUGCCUCUUGGGUGAUCUGCAGGUGGUAGGAACAAACCACAGCAGUCAUCUCAGAAACCAGAUGGGGCGUGGCCCACCACCACUAGGGAUCCUUGAACAGGCACCACUUGGGGCUCCAAUCAACUCAGAGGAUACCACACAGGAGGGCACAGCCACCCAACACCACCCGCUGUUGCUCUCACUCCCCUGGGAACUCACAUACCCUGCCAAUGACACUCCCAAAUAGUCUAGGCAUCGCCUAAAUCUGCCUGAUGCUCAUGACCACUUCCCAGGACUCUGCAACUAGGAGCAGCCUGCGUGACCUUCUGGCAGGUCCUUGCUACUAUCAAGAGUUCAACAACCGGUCACUACUAGCCCUACCCAUUGCCUCCUCCUCCCAGGAAACACAUUCAGCACCCUGGGGAUAAGAGCUCACACCGAAGAAGGAGACAGCAAAUAUCCAAACUCCCACACCAAAAAUAAAUAGUAACAACUCCUGCACAAAAUAUAAAGAGGUGCUGUUGCAUAGAAAGAGCCCUCCAAGAAUACAGUAGUUGGUUUCUCUAAAUUCACGGGAAAAGAAAUAUAAACAAAAUGAAGAAGCUCAGGAACAAUUCCCAGUUAAAAGAAUAGAAGAAUUCACCUGAAGCAGCAAACAAUAAAACAGACCUCUUCAGUCUAAUAGACCCUGAGUUCAAAAGGGAGAUAGUGAAAAUACUGAAGGAAUUAAUGGUGGAUAUGAAGGAAUUAAGUAUGAAUAGAGACAGUAAUAUGGUUUAUUUUAGAAAAGUACUAGAAAAUAUAAGGAGGAGGAACAAAGAAAAAUUAGAAAAUUUACUUGCAGAGACACAAACUGAGUUAAAGGCACUAAAGAACAGAAUGGAUAAUGCAGAGGAACAAAUUAAUGACUUGGAAGACAGAUUAAUGAAAAUCACCCAAUCAGGACAGCAGAGAGAAAACCAAAUGAAAAAACAUGAAAGCAAUAUGAGAGAUUUAUGGGAUACCAUAAAGCAGGCCAAUCUACACAUAAUAGGGAUUCCAGAAGGAGAAGAAAAAUAAAAGGGGGUUGAAAAUAUAUGUGAAGAAAUUAUGCCUGAAAACUUCUCAAAUCUAAAGGAAACAGUUACCAAAAUACAGGAGUCACAGAGAGCUCCAAAUAAGUUGAACCCAAACAGGCCCACAGCAAGACAAGGUAUAAUAAAAAUAGCAAAAGUAAAAGAGAAGAUUCAAAAGGUAACAAGAGAAAAGCAAAGCAUUAAUUAUAAGGGAACCCCCAUAAGGCUAUCAUCUGAUUUCUCUAAAGAAACACUACAGGCCAGAAGAGAGUGGCAAGAUAUAUUCAAAUUCUAAAAGGGAAAAGUUUGCAGCCUAGGAUACUCCACCCUGCAAGAAUAUCAUUUAAAAUAGAAAGAGAAAUAAAGAAUUUCUCCAACAAACAAAAACUAAAAGAGUACAGCAAUACUAACACCAUUCUAGAGAAAUACAGAAAGGGCUUCUCUAAAUAAAAAAGAAGUAAAAAGAAAUAGGAUGGAGGAAAUCACAAUUGGAAAGCAAUCACUUAAAUAAGCCAGUAUACAGAUCUAAAAAGGAGAAAAAAAAACUAGUGUAAAGUGACAGUAAACACAAGGAACAGCAAAAGUACAAACAUGAAGAUGUUAAAAAAAGGCUACAAAAUCAUAGAAAGUGAGGAAGGAGAAUAAAGACAUCUAGACUCUUUUUUAAAUCAUGUGUUUGAGCCUAUGACUAUCAGGCUAAAGAAACCAGAUAUAGGAAUGGGUUAACAUACUUGAAAAACAGGGCAACCACAAAUAAGAGCCAAACAUUACAUUCACAAAAACUAAAAAGAAAAGCAAAGAGGCAUAAAAUAAAAGGAAAUCAUCAAACCAAAGAAAGAAAGGAACGAAGGAGAAACAGAAUCAACUGGAAACCAAGAUUUAAAAUGGCAAUAAAUACAUAUUUAUCAGUAAUUAUCUUAAAUGUCAGUGGACUGAAUGCUCCAAUCGAAAGACACAGAGUGGCAGACUGGAUAAAAAGGAUCUAUGAUCUGCUGUCUACAAGAGACUCACCUUAGGGCAAAAGACACAUAUAGAUUGAAAGUGAGGGGAUGGGAAAAGAUAUUUCAUGCCAAUGGACAAGACAGUAAAACAGGAGUUG
rnacentral:lncRNA from 1 species